UACGGAGGGUGCAAGCGUUAAUCGGAAUUACUGGGCGUAAAGGGUGCGUAGGCGGUUGCUUAAGUCUGUUGUGAAAUCCCCGGGCUCAACCUGGGAAUGGCAAUGGAUACUGGGCAGCUAGAGUGUGUCAGAGGAUGGUGGAAUUCCCGGUGUAGCGGUGAAAUGCGUAGAGAUCGGGAGGAACAUCAGUGGCGAAGGCGGCCAUCUGGGACAACACUGACGCUGAAGCACGAAAGCGUGGGGAGCAAACAGG
rnacentral:rRNA from 1 species